GCAAUACUCCCUCCGUCCGAAAAAAUUUGUCCAUCAAAUGGAUGUAUCUAGCACCAAGUUAGUGGUAGAUACAUUCAUUUGACGGACAAGCUUGGGACAAACUUUUUCGGACGGAGGGAAUACCAU
rfam:Triticum aestivum genome assembly, contig: Triticum_aestivum_CS42_TGACv1_scaffold_160486_2DL